rnacentral:rRNA from 1 species
AUUGAACGCUGGCGGCAGGCUUAACACAUGCAAGUCGAGCGAGCGGCGGACGGUUGAGUAAUGUCUGGGAAACUGCCUGAUGGAGGGGGAUAACUACUGGCAACGGUAGCUAAUACCGCAUACCAUCAGAUGUGCCCAGAUGGGAUUAGCUAGUAGGUGGUGUAAUGGCUCGCCUAGGCGACGAUCCCUAGCUGGUAUGAGAGGAUGACCGGCCACACUGGAACUGAGACACGGUCCAGACUCCUACGGGAGGCAGCGGUGGGGAAUAUUGCGCAAUGGGCGCAAGCCUGAGGCAGCCAUGCCGCGUGUGUGAAGAGGGCCUUCGGGUUGUAAAGCACUUUCAGCGAGGAGGCGUUACGCGCAGAAGAAGCACCGGCUAACUCCGUGCCAGCAGCCGCGGUAAUUC